UUUACUCCUCUAGAUUGCUCUACCCUCUUCUCUAGGGGGUUUUAGGUUCUUCUUUGGAAUGGAAAUGCUGGUCGACCCAAGCAGCAGCAGCUAGAUUGAAAGCGCUCUUUUUUUUUGCUCUCAAGGGGCAGCAACAAUGAUCAUAUGGAGGUUUCUAUGAAUUUGUGGAGCUUAGUGGUACUAUUAGCUCUGGCUUUAUGGAAUAUGGGCAUGCUCUUCAUCUUUGCACAGUGGAACUUAUGCCUUGCAAACUUUCAAGCAUGCUCUUGGGGAUCCAUUGGAACUUCGCAGGUGGAUGGGCAAUGAUCCUUGCUCAGCUUUAUCAUCACUCAAGUAUCCGGAAUUGUUCCAAGGCUCUUUAUUCGACCGGUAUGUAGUCUCCUCUCUCAAGUUGAACAAGGAUGGAGAGGAAUCGAAUGUGGUGGAGAUAGACAUGCCAUUGUCUCACUGUUCAAGUUCUUUUCUUUCUCCAUGAAGGACGCACAAUGGAAAAAAAAUGUUUCCAAACUCCAGACGUUAAAGAAGCGCCUCCGGUCAAAAGCGGAGAAAGACCACAGUCGUCGGGCGGAUAGAUGCAGACGGGAGUGGAAAGAGAGAAAUGCCAUGUAAUCGUGCCACAUCAUUGCCAGCUAGGUGGAGAGAGACUGAAACAGGAUGGUGUUUAACGGGAGGCCUUUUUCUUGGCAUUCCAAGUUGAUCCUUGGAACUACAGUAAGACAUUCCAGCAAUCCUUUGGUAUCAAGA